rnacentral:rRNA from 1 species
GACGAACGCUGGCGGCGUGCUUAACACAUGCAAGUCGAACGCUGAAGCUCAGCUUUUGUUGGGUGGAUGAGUGGCGAACGGGUGAGUAACACGUGAGUAACCUGCCUCCUUCUUUGGGAUAACGCCCGGAAACGGGUGCGAAUACUGGAUAUUCACUGGUCUUCGCAUGGGGGUUGGUGGAAAGGGUUUUUCUGGUGGGGGAUGGGCUCGCGGCCUAUCAGCUUGUUGGUGGGGUGAUGGCCUACCAAGGCUUUGACGGGUAGCCGGCCUGAGAGGGUGACCGGUCACAUUGGGACUGAGAUACGGCCCAGACUCCUACGGGAGGCAGCAGUGGGGAAUAUUGCACAAUGGGCGCAAGCCUGAUGCAGCGACGCCGCGUGAGGGAUGGAGGCCUUCGGGUUGUGAACUUCUUUCGCUCAUGGUCAAGCCGCAACAAUGGUUGUGGUGAGGGUAGUGGGUAAAGAAGCGCCGGCUAACUACGUG